ensembl:lncRNA
CUGCUGUGAGGGGCACGGGGUAAACACAGCCGAAAUGACAGCAGCAGGCCUCAUCACAGAGCGUUAGCAAUUCAAACAGCCACGUCAGGCAGAGAAUUUGAGAGACGGAUGUAACACAAGCAAAGGAAGAACGUGGCAGUUUGCAAACAGUGAGUUGGGUGAUGUUCUUGUAGGUGUGUUCAUUCUUGAAGCACCUCGAAAGAAAUGCAAAUGAAAUGUAUGGUGGGCAGGUCUCCGUGCAAGCAAGGCCUGUUGGAGCUUCAGGUCAGAGAUGCAGGAACUUCUUUAUCUCGUAGAGAGAGAUAACAAGAGGGCUUUUGGAAAAUGUGAGAAAACCAUUGGAGGUCUGGUUUUGCCUAAAGGCACAGUGGGAUGGAUGAUGGAGUCUGAGGAGUGGGGAGUUGUGUGCUAUUCUAUUAAUAAAAGCAGAAGGAAGUAGCAGAACAGAAGCAGUGGAGCAAAUCCCAAAGUCAGUGCCCCACCAAACAGGCAAAAAACUCACCAAAGAAAAGCUGAUGAAUUUCCAGGGUAGAAUUUGUUGGCAGACAGACUGGGCUGAUGUUUCCUAAAGCAACCAGCUUAAUCCCUCCAUUCUGCAAAGGCAAUGCCAAACAAAAGAAAGCUGCUCAACAUUUUCUAUUAGCCUGAAAUUUUGCUGCAGAGAAAAUGAUAACAUGGAAGGAAUUUCCUUGGGAAAGAAAAGAGAAAAGGGUGCUGUGGAAUUAUUUUAGUUCAGACGACUGCAAUGCUAAAAAUGAAUUCUGGGGCAGGACAAUAAACUCAUACACGAAUAUUAAUUCUGCUUGCAGUCACCCAAGGAGUUCAGUCACUGAAGCCCAUUCAUGGUCCGUGUGCUUCCACAGCCUCAGAGGGAUGCUCCAAAAAACUUUGAAAAGCCCAAUCUAAACACGUUUGUGCCCAACUUUCUAAAGAUCCUCCUGUGUGGCUGCAAAGAAUAAGUAAUUUCUAUCUGUAACACGUUAUGAAGUCCUCGGGAAGUAGGCACCGGGGCAGUGUAAAAUGGUUAUUUUAGCCUUAUCUUCUCUUACAAUUGCUUGUUCUCCAUCUCCGCGGAGGGCAGCUGGCAGCACAGCGCUGCGGUGAUUUAAGCCCACCAGGCUGCGGUGUUGGCUCUGUUGUGCAGCGCCUGAGCCGCUGUGCAGGACUUGGCCAUAAACCGCACAGCCCAAGGAAGAUGUUGCUUGUUUUCCAGGACAGGAUGAAAUCACCCCGUGCAUGUCCUCUGUCUGUCGCCUCUCCUGGCAGGGAAAACAUAAAUGCCUUUCCCAUCAUUUUAUUUAUUGCCUUUCUGUGUUUCCUGGGAAAAGCCUAUUUUUAUUUUCUAGCACUUUUGUGUGUGAGUCUGUGUGGGGUAAGCAUGUGUGUGUGUGUGUGUGUGUGUGUGUGUGUGUGUGUGUUUAGGAGGUUAAAAAAAAAUUCUUGCUGUCAGCAAGUGAUGUUACAAACCUGCUCUGACAAGGCUGGUUGUAUAUUUACAGUUGGUGAGAGCGAAGGCUUCAUCAAUCUUCACGCUUUGAAAGGGACAGGCCCGCUCCCAUGAGCACCUGCUCCGGGAGAACAGCUGAACUGUGACUUUCCAGGGAGCUAGCUGUAAAUUUUAGCCAUUCCCCCCGCAGCCCACGCAUGCUUGAGCUCUUUAACCUUCCCAGGCUGGCAGGAGUCCCAGCAAUCAGUUUAGUGCAAAGACUGGGGUUCUUUUUAAUUAACCUUUUGUUUCCCACUGCAGGUGUUUCGAAGUUUCUUAAUGUUAAAAAGGAAGAGGAAAGAAGCUGUUUGCAGAGGUGCAUCCACUCUCUUCCACUCUUGCUAUGCUCGGUGAUCAAAUGGGAGCGGUCUUUCUCAUGUUUCUGCUCCUCAUUUGCCUCCUGCAUGUAAGAUUAUAACAACAUCUGCUCCGAACCUCUGUAGGCAUCUACACAAAGUAUUCCCUUCUGCCACCCUUGGAAUUCUCCCAUCGUAGGUGGUGUGUUGUCUGCCUGGGAGCUCCUGCAGCCCUGCCUGCGUGGAGGAACAAGGAUGUGAUAAUACCGGGCCCUGGAGCUGCAAAUGCAGAACGAACCAAGGAGUAAAAGAAUUGACAAGACAAGCAGUGGUGGGAAAUGGAGGGAAGACUGUGAAAAAGGUUAUAAUAAAUAAUAAGAAAUGUUGCAUGGGCCAAAGGAAUAAUAGAUCAGCGAUGGAAAGACUCUAAAAGCUGCUGAGGGUUAUUUAUUGAUGGACAUUGUUUAAAAGAAAAAAAAAUCAGUGACAGUUUUCCUUCGUGCUCACCAAGGCAGAUGGCGGGGCAGGUGCCAGAAUGAAAGAUAAAUUUCCUUUUGCAUAAAGAAGAAAUAUUGAAGGAAACUGAGCAGAGGUGAUGGAGAAAUUAGAGCGUUGAAAGACCCUGAAAGCACGCGGUCCAUGUCAGCCCUCUCUCAGGAUUUUCAGCUGAGUCAGCAGAAAGCAGGAAAAACUGUUGCGGGAAAUGAGAACCUCUUUGAAGACCAGUAAUGGAGAGGUUCCUGCAAGUGUCACGUCCAGAGGUCUGAGGAAAGCCUUCCAGGAAUUAAAGUUGGUGGUGCAGAAGGUACCUCUGCGUGGCUGAGUGGCCAACGUGCAUCGUAAUCUGGGACUGCAGUAGAGACAUAGUUAGAAGUUAUGAAUGUAAUGAAGGGAAACCAUCAAAGAUUCAGAAAUUGGAAGCUGGGCCAAUAAUGGGAGAGGAAAACGGACAGAGGGUUUCUGAGGAGUUUGUGCAAAUCAUGAGCCAGGGAGAGCCAAGAGAUACAACUUGUGCAGUGGCAGCAAAGGUUGGGUGUAACACGUUCAAAAAGCAUAACAUGGAGUGGAAGUGAUGAGUGUGGGACAUGGAAGCGCCUGGUGGAGCUCUGAGCUGGUGGUACACACAGAGCUGCUGUGAGGAUGCAUUGGUUUCUGUUGCCUUGGCUGUGAGCGGGGGGUUGGGGGGGUCUGUGGGCACCGGGGAAGUGGUUACAGAGUGAAUGUAACUGAGGUACAAGAGAGACAUGAGGAAAGGAACAAACCCUGCAGGAGCUGAGGGCACCUGGCCUGGCUGGGGAACCUGCAGGGUGGGUCCAUCCCAAGGCCAGCAGCUGUGCCUCUGCAACAUGUGCUAGGGAGUUCUAAUUAACAGCUCUCCAACCGUCCCUGCAGUGGGUGAGUGCAAAUUAGAUGGCUGUUGUAAACAUGGUGAAUCAGACUUGCCAACGGUUAACCAGGAGGAAAACCGUUUAUCUGAGAGUGGAGUUUGUUUUUGGGGGGGCAAAACAGCAUCACUGUGGGUCUGUCCCCAUGGCCGUUCAUCUGAUAUCCAAACAGCAUUAAAUCACUCAUCGUUUUGCUCACAGUCAGCAGGUAAUGGGGGCUGACAGGAAGGAUCUGUUACUGCGUGUCCUCACGUCUUUGUUUCAGGGAAGCCUCCUGCCCUCCUACAGCGGAGGAACGUGGCAGCCUGCACCCACGUUUGCGCACACAAACCCCACCCUGUCGGCUGAAACCCCUCAGAAAGUCCCAUCGGGUGAUGGCCGUGACGGGGUUGUAGGGGGCCUUCAUCAGCCCUCAGCUGGGGGUCUGCGGUGUAAGGAGGGAGCGAGGAGGGAGGUUCUCCAGCACAGCUGCACCGCAGAGCUCGCGCUGCCUGGGGGGGCCCGGCCCGCCUCGGUCCUCAAACAGAAGGAAGCGAGGAAAAGACGACGCCGCGCGUCCCCUGGAAGCAGGGCAUGCCCGCCGCUCCCCGACGGCCGCAGCAGCAAAGCGCUCAG